rnacentral:lncRNA from 1 species
UGCUCACGUCAGCAGCUCAAAGGGCAGUUCCUGCUUAACCAAUUUGCAGACAUGGUGAGACCACACUAGAUCUUAUCCUGUGGCAGACUGCGCUAGUGAAACUCCCGGCUGGAUGUCUUUCAACUGCACGAAACACUCCUCAAGUUGUGGUUUGGAGAGCCCAAGCAGUGUAAUGGGCAUAACUUCAUUCCGUGAGCUCAGGAGCUGCCGCUCAAGUAACUUCCGCUUGCAUGAAGACACAACUCUUGUGACAAUAUCUGCCAUGGAACAAGACCUCAAAAGAGGUCACCUGCAGCCUGGAUCAUGAUGGGACGUUUUGUGUUUUAUAGCACCGUGCCAUGGAUAAUCUAACUAUCUGGGUUCAACUCUGAAUUCCGUGUGAAACUGAAAACAACACUUCUUCUCAUAAAGCUUCAGGUUUCCUCCUGCAAGACGGGGAUAAUAAUGGGGGGCGGGGAAGGGUUUCUGUGUGCCAGGCUCAUGUGUAGAUUGGAUGAUGGAAUGUAUCCCGAACAUGUAGCACUGGCCUUAGCUCCCCAAUUACUGUAUUAAAUCAGAGAAUUGUAGGCUGAUUGCUCACUUUCUCCUUGUCCUGGAAACAAUGCUUUGCAGACGGUAGGUGCUCAAAGGAGUGUGAGCAAGUGAGUUAUGAAAGACAGAAUCAAGAGUAUAAUGAAGCUAGAGAGCUAGGCAGGGGGGAUCAUAUAGGGCGGGCCUGUGGGUUAUGAUUGAUAUACCUGUGUUUUAUUUUUCGUAGGGCAGAACGUUCUAUGACCGUACAGAAGAAUUACACAGUCUGCUUAUGCUUUUUAAAAAGCACCCUGGUUUCUGAGCUGAGAAAGCGCUAGAGCUGAACAGCUGUUAAAUCAUGUAGACAUAGAGCUGUUGCAGUGACUUUGGUGGGCAAGAGCAUGGUGCUAGGGGCAGUGUGGAUGGACAGGGAGGGAUGCAUCUAUGGUAUGUUUUUGAGGAAAGAACAGUAGGACGUGGCUGAUGUGGGUUUUAGAGCAGACACUGAGACUGACUUCCCAAAAUAU